UAAAAGGAUUUGUUGUAAAUUAUGCUCCAUUGGUCUUUUUGUGUUUUCUACCCACUUUUACCUCCGUGACGGUGAGAUAUCGUGAUGUCCUUACUGGGCUAGUGUAGCUCAUUCCUUAUUUAAUCAUUUCAGAUCAAGAGGACAUCGUUCCCGAGCCGGUUCCGCAGGAGGACGACGAAGGGGACACCUAAGGACUCCAUAGUCACAUUCGUAGUUUUUACUUUCAAGUUUCCCCUUUAGGUAGUUUAAUCUUUUAUAUUUUGUGAGCACGUUUUUGGUUUUAGUGUAAGAGAUGUUAAUCAAAUUUUGUCUUCGCUUCCGCAUUUGAUAUUUAUAAUAUAAUUUCCAUUUUAAAUUUCCGGGGCUGCUACAGUUGGUAUCAGAGCCAGGUUUCCUCGGACCCAUCCCUUACACAAUAGUGCUUUAGAGAAAUACUCACCGAUAUAUCGUUACUCAAUCAUUCCUUGUAAACGUAGGUAUACGAGAAUGAGGAGAGGAAGGCCCCCACUAAACCGAGCGGCCCCAGAUAAUUCACUUC
rnacentral:lncRNA from 1 species